rnacentral:rRNA from 1 species
UAGGGAAUCUUCGGCAAUGGACGAAAGUCUGACCGAGCAACGCCGCGUGAGUGAAGAAGGUUUUCGGAUCGUAAAACUCUGUUGUUAGAGAAGAACAAGGACGUUAGUAACUGAACGUCCCCUGACGGUAUCUAACCAGAAAGCCACGGCUAACUACGUGCCAGCAGCCGCGGUAAUACGUAGGUGGCAAGCGUUGUCCGGAUUUAUUGGGCGUAAAGCGAGCGCAGGCGGUUUCUUAAGUCUGAUGUGAAAGCCCCCGGCUCAACCGGGGAGGGUCAUUGGAAACUGGGAGGCUUGAGUGCAGAAGAGGAGAGUGGAAUUCCAGGUGUAGCGGUGAAAUGCGUAGAUAUAUGGAGGAACACCAGUGGCGAAGGCGGCUCGCUGGUCUGUAACUGACGCUGAGGCUCGAAAGCGUGGGGAGCAAACAGG